AGUGAACGCUGGCGGUAGGCCUAGCACAUGCAAGUCGAACGGCAGCACAGUAAGAGCUUGCUCUUACGGGUGGCGAGUGGCGGACGGGUGAGGAAUACAUCGGAAUCUACUUUUUCGUGGGGGAUAACGUAGGGAAACUUACGCUAAUACCGCAUACGACCUACGGGUGAAAGCAGGGGAUCUUCGGACCUUGCGCGAUUGAAUGAGCCGAUGUCGGAUUAGCUAGUUGGCGGGGUAAAGGCCCACCAAGGCGACGAUCCGUAGCUGGUCUGAGAGGAUGAUCAGCCACACUGGAACUGAGACACGGUCCAGACUCCUACGGGAGGCAGCAGUGGGGAAUAUUGGACAAUGGGCGCAAGCCUGAUCCAGCCAUACCGCGUGGGUGAAGAAGGCCUUCGGGUUGUAAAGCCCUUUUGUUGGGAAAGAAGAGCAGCAGGUUAAUACCCCGCUGUUCUGACGGUACCCAAAGAAUAAGCACCGGCUAACUUCG
rnacentral:rRNA from 1 species